rnacentral:misc_RNA from 1 species
AAAGUCGUAACAAGGUCUCCGUUGGUGAACCAGCGGAGGGAUCAUUACCGAAGUUACUCUUCAUACCCUUUUGUGAACACUACCCCAUUGCCGCGCGUUGCCUCGGCGGGGAGGUCCGCGGGGUUGCGCUCCGGCGCUCCCCCCGGGCCCCCGCCGGCCGCGCCGAACUCUUCAUUUGCAAAGCGGACUGUAUGUUCUGAUUAUAUCUUGAAAAACAAGUCAAAACUUUCAACAACGGAUCUCUUGGUUCUG